UCUCCGUAGGUGAACCUGCGGAGGGAUCAUUACAGAGUUCAUGCCCUACCGGGUAGAUUUCCCACCCUAUGUUAUUAUUACUUUGUUGCUUUGGCGGGCCGUUAGGCUCCGGCCCGACUACCGGCCCCGGCUGGUAAGCGCCCGCCAGAGGACCCAAAACCCUGAAUAUUAGUGUCGUCUGAGUACUAUGUAAUAGUUAAAACUUUCAACAACGGAUCUCUUGGUUCUG
rnacentral:misc_RNA from 1 species